rnacentral:rRNA from 1 species
GACGAACGCUGGCGGCGUGCUUAACACAUGCAAGUCGAACGGGCUCGCCUUCGGGUGGGUUAGUGGCGAACGGGUGAGUAACACGUGGGUGAUCUGCCCUGCACUUUGGGAUAAGCCUGGGAAACUGGGUCUAAUACCGGAUAGGACCUGCUCCUGCAUGGGGGUGGGUGGAAAGCUUUUGCGGUGUGGGAUGGGCCCGCGGCCUAUCAGCUUGUUGGUGGGGUGAUGGCCUACCAAGGCGACGACGGGUAGCCGGCCUGAGAGGGUGUCCGGCCACACUGGGACUGAGAUACGGCCCAGACUCCUACGGGAGGCAGCAGUGGGGAAUAUUGCACAAUGGGCGCAAGCCUGAUGCAGCGACGCCGCGUGGGGGAUGACGGCCUUCGGGUUGUAAACCUCUUUCAGCAGGGACGAAGCGUAAGUGACGGUACCUGCAGAAGAAGCACCGGCCAACUACGUGCCAGCAGCCGCAGUAACAC